AGUGAAGGGGCCCUGCUCCAGGAAGGUCCUUCACCUGGCAGAGUGCAGCCAAUGAAAAACUCUCCAGACACAAGAAACAACCCAACAAAGCCCCACUCCUCUCUCCACUCACUUCUGUCUCCUCUUUCAGCAGGUCAAACAUGUUCUCCAUGUCAAUGAAGUUGGUCUGGAUCAUCCUGCAAGAAGGGUGAGGGUUGGGGUUCCUCUGAGGAGCUGGGAAAUAGCAACACACACAUCAAACAGAUUCUGCCUCACCUGUAGCUUCUGCUCACUGACAAAGUAUGCACAAAGGAGGGAGCCAGCAAGGAGACCAAGUCCAAUAACCAAGUUCUGGGUCUGAUUCAGAAAAACCAGUGAAGCGCUUGACUUCCACUCCAAACCCUGAAGGUAAUGACACAGGAGCGAGGAAUGUCAAAUACACGCUGACCAUCACCAAAUCCCAACUUUCGAUCUCACCACCUGGACUAUACUACUCUCAGCCCUGACAAUACCCAGAUGACCAGCGUGCUGCUCUUAGGAGGCCAUACCUCACAUCCUCACCUGAUACUUUAUGAUGGCCUCUUGGUAGCGCUCCACUUCAUAACCCUCAGCGUUGUAGUACUUCACCUGAUGAAGUCAAACAGCACACAGCGCUCA